rnacentral:rRNA from 1 species
GACGAACGCUGGCGGCGUGCUUAACAUAUGCAAGUCGAACGAAGAGCGACGGAAGCUUGCUUCUAUCAAUCUUAGUGGCGAACGGGUGAGUAACGCGUAAUCAACCUGCCCUUCAGAGGGGGACAACAGUUGGAAACGACUGCUAAUACCGCAUACGAUCUAACCUCGGCAUCGAGGAUAGAUGAAAGGUGGCCUCUACAUGUAAGCUAUCACUGAAGGAGGGGAUUGCGUCUGAUUAGCUAGUUGGAGGGGUAACGGCCCACCAAGGCGAUGAUCAGUAGCCGGUCUGAGAGGAUGAACGGCCACAUUGGGACUGAGACACGGCCCAGACUCCUACGGGAGGCAGCAGUGGGGAAUCUUCCGCAAUGGACGAAAGUCUGACGGAGCAACGCCGCGUGAGUGAUGACGGCCUUCGGGUUGCAAAGCUCUGUUAAUCGGGACGAAAGGCCUUCUUGCGAAUAGUGAGAAGGAUUGACGGUACCGGAAUAGAAAGCCACGGCUAACUACGUG